rnacentral:rRNA from 1 species
UACAGAGGUCUCAAGCGUUGUUCGGAUUCAUUGGGCGUAAAGGGUGCGUAGGUGGCGGGGUAAGUCUGGUGUGAAAUCCUGGGGCUCAACCCCGGAACUGCACUGGAUACUGCUUUGCUAGAGUACUGGAGAGGGAACUGGAAUUUACGGUGUAGCAGUGAAAUGCGUAGAUAUCGUAAGGAAGACCAGUGGCGAAGGCGAGUUCCUGGACAGUUACUGACACUGAGGCACGAAGGCCAGGGAAGCAAACGGG